ensembl:lncRNA
CUGUGUAUAAAUACCCCGGUUGUUCUGUCAUUGUCACGGAGUCCUUGUUGAAUGUCACCCUGUGUUUUCCUGGUUCCCUGGUUUCUCGUGUUUCUGGAUGUUGUCUAUGUUUCUUGUUUUGGACGGAUUACCUGGAUUUUGACCUUUGCCUGGAUGUUUUCUGAUUUUGGAUCACCCCAAUAAACACACUGCUUUUGGAUCUACCUGUCUGUGUGCGUGUCGUGACAGAAGGACUCCGUCAUGCCUAGAUCCAGCGGUAUGUUUUUUGGGGUUUCUCCCCCAGCCAUCGAGCGGGAGAGAAGGAUGGAGUUUGAGGGAACCCGCCUGGUCAUUUUUUUCGUGGGACCCGGGGAGGUCGCAGAGGAGUGAGUGGUCGUGAGGAGGCUCAGCAUCGCUCUCAACCAUGGCCCCCCUUCGAUCCGGGGCUCGUGUGGGAUGGAUCAGAGCCACUGUCUCACCACGGCGGACGGAGAGGGGAGAAGAAGCGCAGGUCCGCCAUGGUGGCGCCACUGCCCAUGAUGCCACUGCCAGGGCCAGCGCCACGAGGCAAGAUGGACGCCAGCUCAGCGCCACAGCACAAGAUGGCCGCCAGCCCAGCGCCACAGCACAAGAUGGCCGCCAGCCCAGCGCCACAGCACAAGAUGGCCGCCAGCCCAGCGCCACAGCACAAGAUGGCCGCCAGCCCAGCACCACAGCACAGGAUGGUUGACUCAACGCCUGAGUCUUCCGUCAAGGAGCCACCGGCUCGCCAUCAUAGAGGGCGGAGGAGGAGGAGACAGGCGUCAGCCGUUCCUCAAAGCCCGGAGGGGGGUCUCGAGCGGGCCGCUGCCGUCCAGGAGGAGGUUCCCGAGCAGGCCGCUGCCGUCCAGGAGGACGUUCCCGAGCAGGCCGCUGUCGUCCAGGUGGACGUUCCCGAGGCGGUGCCUGAUGCCGAGGCGGUGCCCGAAGCGGUGCCUGAUGCGGUGGUCGAGGCGGUUCCCGAUGCAAUUUCCGAUGCCGAGGCGGUGCCCGAUGCCGAGGCGGUGCCCGAUGCGGUUCCCGAGG